CUUUUUAAUAGCUAGAACUGGAAAUAGUUGAGCUUCCCUUCUCCGUGCUCUUCUCUUCUCUUCUCUUCUCGUCCGCUUCGGUGUGAGAUCCACGAGCUUCCCUUCUCAGUCUCUCAGCUUCUCGUCCGCUACGGAUUCACGAGAUCCAUUGUUGAUGUUGUUGGUCAUCGAUCUCAUGGCCCUGUUCCUGAACCUGGAUCAAUCGUCGUUGUUCGGGUUACAAAAGUUAUGGCUAUAAUGGCUUCAGCUGAUAUAAUGUGUGUGGAAUCAAAGGCUGUGAAGGAAAAGUUUACUGGUAUUAUUAGUUUACUGAAAACUUAUAUGAAGUAACACAAAAGGUAAAAAGGUGAAAGGGAACAUACCUGGCUGACAUUACUAUCAAAAUGGAUGGGCCACUUUUCUGCUACAAAAUUCCUGCAGAAAAGACUUUGCAUGACGGAAAUCAUACCGGAAACUUUGCUUCGAGUUUACACUACAUUAUGGGUGAUGAAAGCUACAUAUGGUAUCAUGCUCGGCUUGAUUUCAAUGAAACAUAGCAUUUAUUAGUCAAGGAUUUGCACACUAAAACACUAUGAUUAAAAUGAAUGGUAGCAAGAGACAUGCCAAACUAACAGAAUCCUAUAAAGCAGACAAACACCACACGCAUACUUUAAUACACUAGAUCUGAUGAC